rnacentral:rRNA from 1 species
CCUACGGGUGGCAGCAGUCGAGAAUCAUUCACAAUGGGGGAAACCCUGAUGGUGCGACGCCGCGUGGGGGAAUGAAGGUCUUCGGAUUGUAAACCCCUGUCAUGUGGGAGCAAAUUAAAAAGAUAGUACCACAAGAGGAAGAGACGGCUAACUCUGUGCCAGCAGCCGCGGUAAUACAGAGGUCUCAAGCGUUGUUCGGAAUCACUGGGCGUAAAGCGUGCGUAGGCUGUUUCGUAAGUCGGGUGUGAAAGGCGCGGGCUCAACCCGCGGACGGCACAUGAUACUGCGAGACUAGAGUAAGGGAGAGGGAACCGGAAUUCUCGGUGUAGCAGUGAAAUGCGUAGAUAUCGAGAGGAACACUCGUGGCGAAGGCGGGUUCCUGGACAUUAACUGACGCUGAGGCACGAAGGCCAGGGGAGCGAAAGGGAUUAGAUACCCCAGUAGUC